GAGAUAAAUUAUGGCUGCGAUUGCGGUCAGCUUCGCUGGCUUCUUAAAGGAAAAAGAGUGUUUUAAAAAGAACAAAUUGGAGAGAAACAAAUAUUCUUGGGACUGAGCCCCCGAUCAAUUAUUGAUCCUAGCAAUAAUGCUAAAUGGAAAUAUGCAGAAAAAAACCUGGGGAGAAAGAAACAUCCAUGGAACCUGUUGGACACAAAAUAAAAGGAAGCUGCACCUGUUGGAUGAGACCAGCCUGGGUCUAUGUGAAAGUGUAGACCAAAGUUUUUCAAGUGCUACUAUUCAUCUACACCAGUGUUUCGGUCCAGAACUUGACUCCAUCAUUCCAGACUGAAGGUGGAGAUCCAGAAAGUCUAUAAUUGGGGACCUUGUCUGCCAGAGUCCUACUUGCACGGAAAUGGAAAGAUAUACCAAUCUUCACAACAGAAGAAUGAAUGGAAAAAGUGAUGGAGUUAGAAAAAAAUGAAAAAAAAUUUACUGCUUUAAUUAGAUAUCAACCUUUGUUUCUACUUGGAAACUGCUUCUGGACUUUGUGCUCAAGAUAGAAAAAAAAUGAACUCCUGGUGCUUGAUUUUGUUUAUUAAUUUGUUUUUAUAGACAUGGCUAAUAAUUUCUAAAUAUGUAAAUGUAAAAAGUUGAGGCUGUAAUUUUAUUUUGUAUUUUACUGUGCUGAAGUCAAUGCUUGUUUUCUUUCUCCUUUCUCCUACACUUCUUUCCCAUUUUUAUGCUUCUCCAUUUCCCUUUCUUUAUUUUCAUUUGUACUUUUCACUAUUAUAAUUUCAAUAAAAUUUAUCAAAAAAAAAGGAAAGAGUCAAAAAGAGGAUUCUGUGGUGGGGCUAAAGAAGUCUACUCCACUUCAUCAUUGGUACACCAGGAUACAAAAAAGAUGCUGAGGCCCCAGAAAGAAUGCAAAGAGGAGCAAUAGAGAUGAUAAGGGCUCUGAAGCCAAACAGUACAAUGAAUGGCUAAGGGAACUCGGUAUGCUUAGCUUAAGAAAGAGAGGGUUUAGGGGAGACAGGACAGCCAUCUUCCAAUACUUGAAGGGCUGUCAUAGGGGAAAGGGCAACAAUUUACUCUCUGUAGCUCCUGAGGGUGGGACAAAAAGCAAGGGAUGGAAGCUCAUCAGAAGGAAAUCCAACCUAGAAAUAAGGAAGAAUUUCCUGACAGUGAGAACCAUUAAUCAAUGGAAUGGCCUGCCUCCCAAAGUUGUGGCUGCUCCAUCACUGGAGGCUCCCAAUAAUAGAUUGGACAACCAUUUCUUCAGGACGGUAUAAGGAUUCCUGCCUUGGCCAGAGGAUUGGACUAGAAGACCUCCAAGGUCCCUUCCAGCCCUAUGAGUCUAUGAUCUCAACUUCC